rnacentral:lncRNA from 1 species
AAAAUAAGAAGCACCUGAACUAACACAGCAGAAAGGUGUCAUGAAAUAGAAUCCCAGAUAUAAGUCAUUAGCAAAAAUUCCAUCAAGUAUGUAGAGCACAUAAUAGUUACAUCUAGAUAUUAAAUCCAUCAUCUCAAUAAGUAAGAAACUGAUGUUAGAUGCAUCUUCAUUUCACAUCCAUUCAUGAUGAAGCUGCCUAGUAGGAUUUGAAAAUUAAUACAUGCUAUUCUUGUUUUAACAAACAUGGCCUGCAAUUUUGAGAGUUGGAGACAUCAAUGUAGAUACCACAUGUCUAGUAAUAAAGACUGCACAAGAUAUUAGAGGACGGUGAAUGGAGAUUCAUAGAGGGAAAACCAAAGACCUACUAAUUAGCAUGAAAAUUGACGAAAAAGGGGGCAGGUCAAUAAAAACAGAGCUCCUUAUGCAUCCUUCUUCUGCCCUUCGUGUGCCAAAACUGCAGUUUUCAUGAACAUCAGGAGGCCGCACCCUAGCUCGUCAGGCAGGUGACAAAAAAUAUUAACACGUCAGUUUACCUCCAAAUUUGACUAAUUCUGGUAGUUGUGAUACAAUUUUCAGCUCUCAUAAUUCAUCAACCUGAAGAAUGCUAUGCUUCAGAAAACAUUAACAUCUAGACGAUUUCGAAGCCAGGAAACACCAGUAUAUUACCAGCAGUUGGUGACAAAAAUACUCGUGGUCGCGGGUGGACGUCGUCGUCGUCUUGCUCGAUAUGGGCAACGGCUGCUUGCUCGAGGUUUGGCGAUGUGGGCAGUGUCCAAAUCUCAACUCUGUCAAAG